GACGUAGGGCGCGAGCGUUGUCCGGAUUUAUUGGGCGUAAAGAGCUCGUAGGCGGCUUGUCGCGUCGUUCGUGAAAACCCCGGGGGCUCAACUCCGGGCUUGCGGGCGAUACGGGCAGGCUAGAGUUCGGUAGGGGAGACUGGAAUUCCUGGUGUAGCGGUGAAAUGCGCAGAUAUCAGGAGGAACACCGGUGGCGAAGGCGGGUCUCUGGGCCGAUACUGACGCUGAGGAGCGAAAGCGUGGGGAGCGAACAGG
rnacentral:rRNA from 1 species